rnacentral:rRNA from 1 species
UACGUAGGGGGCAAGCGUUGUCCGGAAUCAUUGGGCGUAAAGAGCGUGUAGGCGGCCCGGUAAGUCUGUUGUGAAAGUCCAGGGCUCAACCCUGGAAUGCCGAUGGAUACUGCCGGGCUAGAGUUCGGAAGAGGCGAGUGGAAUUCCUGGUGUAGCGGUGGAAUGCGCAGAUAUCAGGAGGAACACCUAUAGCGAAGGCAGCUCGCUGGGACGACACUGACGCUGAAUAGCGAAAGCGUGGGUAGCGAACAGG